CAAAGAUUAAGCCAUGCAUGUCUAAGUACAGGCCUACCCAAGGCGAAACCGCAAAAGGCUCAUUAAAUCAGUCAUGAUUCAAUGGAUGUUGUUAAAAACUCUUACUUGGAUAACUGUGGUAAUUCUAGAGCUAAUACGUGCAAUCGAGCUCCGACCCUGCCGUCAAAGGCGGGGGAAGGGCGCUUUUAUUAGAUUCAAAACCGAGCGGACUGCGGUCCGUCUCCCAUAAAGAGCUGUGAUGACUCUGAAUAACCUAGCCGAGCGCUGAGGCCUUUGAGCCGGCGCCGUAUCCUCCGAGUGUCUGCCUUAUCAGCUGUCGAUUGUAGGUUAUACGCCUACAAUGGCUGUAACGGGUAACGGGGAAUCGGGGUUCGAUUCCGGAGAGGGAGCCUGAGAAACGGCUACCACAUCUAAGGAAGGCAGCAGGCACGCAAAUUACCCACUCCCGGCACGGGGAGGUAGUGACGAWAAAUAACGAUGCGGGACUCUUCCGAGGCCUCGCAAUCGGAAUGAGUUCACUCUAAAMMCUUGGACGAGGAUCCAUUGGAGGGCAAGUCUGGUGCCAGCAGCCGCGGUAAUUCCAGCUCCAAUAGCGUAUAUUAAAGCUGCUGCGGUUAAAAAGCUCGUAGUUGGCUGUUCGAUCUGUACCGGCGGCCCACCCAAGGCGCUAACCCCACAAAGAUUUCCUAUCGGUUAGGGAGUGACGUUCGGCGCAGUUCUUUUCGCUCGUUCCGACCCUCGCACGCACGCCGCGCUCGCUCGUUUCGGUGCCGGGGCUCGUUCCCCCAUCCGUGCGACGAUAACGUGGUGGUGGUGCUUGACGUCGGCGACGUUAUCCUACGUCCGAUUUCGUUAAACCCGCCGGGGACGUCUAGUGGCUAUUAAGCGCCCGGUGGUCAACCCGUUCGGAUACGGAUUUGUCAAAAUACGCCGGCUCUCACGGGGUGCUCUUUACCGAGUGUCUCGCGUGGCCGACGACGUUCACUUUGAAAAAAUUAGAGUGCUCAAAGCAGGCAWAAAUYWWCGCCUGAAUKWYGAUGCAUGGAAUGAUGGAAYAGGACCUCGGUUCUUUGYWUUUUYUCUCGGUUUUUCCCGGAACCCGAGGUAAUGAUUAACGGGAACGGACGGGGGCAUUAGUAUUGCGACGCUAGAGGUGAAAUUCUUGGACCGUCGCAAGACUAACUACUGCGAAAGCAUUUGCCAAGAACGCUUUCAUUAGUCAAGAACGAAAGUUAGAGGAUCGAAGGCGAUCAGAUACCGCCCUAGUUCUAACCUUAAACGAUGCUAACUGGCGAUCCGCUUACGUCAUUCCCACGACUGAGCGGGGAGCCCCCGGGAAACCAAAGUCUUUGAGUUCCGGGGGAAGUAUGGUUGCAAAGCUGAAACUUAAAGGAAUUGACGGAAGGGCACCACCAGGAGUGGAGCCUGCGGCUUAAUUUGACUCAACACGGGGAACCUCACCAGGCCCGGACACCGGAAGGAUUGACAGAUUGAGAGCUCUUUCUCGAUUCGGUGGGUGGUGGUGCAUGGCCGUUCUUAGUUGGUGGAGCGAUCUGUCUGGUUGAUUCCGAUAACGAACGAGACUCUACCCUGCUAACUAGUCGGUGGAUCGUCUCCCGAGACGGGUCCUACCGGGGCGUUUUGGCGUGUUGGCGGGGCCUUCCGUCCGCGGCGUACUUCCGUUCGCGCUUGGUGGUUACCGGCGUCGUCUGUCGCCUUUUUCCGCGUCGCCUCGCUCGCGUGCCUCCCUGCCCGUUCUCGCGCGGCCGGCUUCGGCGUGUCGUUUUGCUGUUUAACCGCAGUACUACGCGCGUCGGCGUCGCCGUCGAGGAUUGUGGUAUAGGGGCGCGGGAUGUUGGCGGCGGGGGUGGGAAUGACGGCUGGCGUCGGGCUCCAGGACGUGUAGCGGGCCAAAAGGCGUCGCGGGUCGCGGGAUGGUCGCGCCCGCGUCGGGGUUCCGUGCGUAGGGCCCAGCGAGGGGCGUCCAUCGCAGCAUCUUCUUAGAGGGAUCGGCGGCGUCCAGCCGCACGAGAGAGAGCAAUAACAGGUCUGUGAUGCCCUUAGAUGUUCUGGGCCGCACGCGCGCUACAAUGAAGGGAUCAGCGUGCUCUCCCCCUCCGAAAGGAGCGGGUAACCCGAUGAAACCCCUUCCCGAUUGGGAUUGGGGAUUGUAAGUGUUUCCCAUGAACGAGGAAUUCCCAGUAAGCGCAAAGUCAUCAGCUUGCGAUGAUUACGUCCCUGCCCUUUGUACACACCGCCCGUCGCUACUACCGAUUGAAUGAUUCAGUGAGGGCAUCGGACUGGCGCCCUCGGUAGCUUUCGGUUCGCGCAAUGCGUCUUAUUAAUCCCCUCACGGGGGUUGGCGGGCGCGGGCCGACGGCAUCCCCGGGACUGACGGAAA
rnacentral:rRNA from 1 species